GAUGAAGAACGUAGCGAAAUGCGAUACGUAAUGUGAAUUGCAGAAUUCAGUGAAUCAUCGAAUCUUUGAACGCACAUUGCGCCCGCCAGCAUUCUGGCGGGCAUGCCUGUUCGAGCGUCAUUUCAACCCUCGACCUCCCCUUGGGGAGGUCGGCGUUGGGGACCGGCAGCACACCGCCGGCCCUGAAAUGGAGUGGCGGCCCGUCCGCGGCGACCUCUGCGCAGUAAUACAGCUCGCACCGGGACCCCGACGCGGCCACGCCGUAAAACACCCAACUUCUGAACGUUGACCUCGAAUCAGGUAGGACUACCCGCUGAACUUAAGCAUAUCAAUAAGCGGAGGA
rnacentral:misc_RNA from 1 species